UUAUCCACUAGCAUGCAUUAUAUUCAUAUGCAAUUAUCAUGUAAUAUACGUUUCUCACAUUAUAUGCAUUUACCCAAUCUUCACAUCAUAUGCAUCAUAUAGCAUUUAACCCAUUAUAUGCAUCAUAUAGUAUUUAACCCAUUAUAUGCAUCAACUAGGAAAUCAUAUUUUUCUUCGACAUGAGGGCGACCUAGUCGCUUCGGUAAGCACAACCCACCUGUUAGUGCAUUCCGAUUGCUUGUCGACACUUGCAAUCGGCCUCCCGCGGCAUUCGGCACUCGGUUUGGCGUGAUCUCUCGAGCGACCACCCGAACGGCCUCCAAUUCACGAUCCGAAAAUUAAAGGUCUUCGGUUAUGUGCCACGAUGCUUCAAAUCCGUU
rnacentral:lncRNA from 1 species